rnacentral:rRNA from 1 species
ACUCCUACGGGAGGCAGCAGUGGGGAAUAUUGGACAAUGGGCGAAAGCCUGAUCCAGCCAUGCCGCGUGUGUGAAGAAGGCCUUAGGGUUGUAAAGCACUUUAAGCGAGGAGGAAAUGUUCUAGGCUAAUACCCUUGAGCAGUGACGUUACUCGCAGAAUAAGCACCGGCUAACUCUGUGCCAGCAGCCGCGGUAAUACAGAGGGUGCAAGCGUUAAUCGGAAUUACUGGGCGUAAAGCGCGCGUAGGCGGUUACGUAAGUUGGAGGUGAAAUCCCCGAGCUCAACUUGGGAAUUGCCUUCAAAACUGCGUGGCUAGAGUGUGGGAGAGGAAGGUAGAAUUCCAGGUGUAGCGGUGAAAUGCGUAGAUAUCUGGAGGAAUACCGAUGGCGAAGGCAGCCUUCUGGCCUAACACUGACGCUGAGGUGCGAAAGCAUGGGGAGCAA